CCUACGGGAGGCAGCAGUAAGGAAUAUUGGUCAAUGGAGGCAACUCUGAACCAGCCAUGCCGCGUGCAGGAAGAAGGCCCUAUGGGUCGUAAACUGCUUUUGUACCAGAGAAAACCCGAGUACGUGUACUCGGUUGAUAGUAUGGUAAGAAUAAGCAUCGGCUAACUUCGUGCCAGCAGCCGCGGUAAGACGAAGGAUGCAAGCGUUAUCCGGAUUCAUUGGGUUUAAAGGGUGCGUAGGCGGACUGAUAAGUCAGUGGUGAAAUCUCUCAGCUUAACUGAGAAACUGCCAUUGAUACUGUUAGUCUAGAGUAUAGAUGACGUUGGCGGAAUAUGACAUGUAGUGGUGAAAUACUUAGAUAUGUCAUAGAACACCGAUUGCGAAGGCAGCUAACGAAACUAUAACUGACGCUGAGGCACGAAAGUUGGNGGAGUACAACAGAUAGUAUACCUACGUAGUCGCACCGUAACGAUAGAUACUCGUUGUUGUCGAUAUGACGU
rnacentral:rRNA from 1 species